GGAUCAUGAUUGAAGACUGGUUCCCUACAUGCAUGAGCAUGGUGAAAAACAAGGACAUAGGCUUGAAUAGUGGCCCGAGAUGUUAAGAGUGGACGACUGUCUGUAAAGUAAAGAGGUUCUCGCCUAUUUCAAGAUCAGGGGCAUGGAUGUAACCGAGGUUGUCCAAGAGAGACCCGGCAUCAUAUUACUGUAGGAAAAGACGACACGGUUUGGUUACAUGGCUAAGUAUCCACUGACAAACUGUCAAAAAGGGGUUGGCGACUGGUGUGCCUCCCAGCUCCCCUUUAAAUAUACAGCUUGAAAUGAUUCCUUGCCUGUGAUCUGAGGCAAAGAGAGAGCUGCUGAAACAGAUGCCAGUCAUUGGACCUGUGACAUUGAUGGAUGCCUGCACAGGAACAAAAAUUUGCGAUUGGCCAAUUUAAGGACAACCAAAAGUUGACACCAUAUUGCAUUUACAGGAAUUGACAACAUCACAAUAGGCCACUGAGGGCGAGGACGAGUCUGUGACAGGAUGCCUUGCCACAUAUCUACAAGGUAGCUGCCUCACUUAGGCAAAUGUGCUGUGAUGAGAAGAGCCACUGGAUGAAAGGAUGAAUGCGACCAAGAUGUCAAAGUUGGAGAAAGUUUAUGACUGUGUAAUGGCUUACUGAUUUGUGAUAGGUCUAUUUCUGUUUCAGCAUGGUUUCAUGAUCUGAGGACAGGGACAAAACAAGAGGGGCCUGGUGAAACCAUCGCUUAGCAAUGAUGCACUUCGAACCUCACAUUUGGAACAUCUGCUUUGAACGAGACCUAGCCUGCAUUGUUUCGAGAAAGAUGAGAUGGGGAGAUGCACCAUAUUUUGAGAAACAUGGGUCCAUUACAUCAAGGUCUAUGCAUAACCCAUGUGCACAACCGCACAGAUCUUGAUCAAAGAGGGAAUCAGUAAACUUUUGACGGCGCUAAUAUUUCUGCUCCUCCAUCUGAUGGCAAAGACUGGAAAAGAGAACAGCUACCGCACCAUCGUCCCCCUGGUAAUCAAGCCAAGAUCAGUCCACAUGCUGAGGGUUGCCAUUACCAACACCACUAACAAGAUUUCACUGAUCAUGUGACCGCAGCAAAAUCUGACUGGAGAAAAAUGAUGAAGGAAUCUACAAUGUCGUUGCAAGAACAAGCAAUCUUAAGAAUACAAGCACCUCAACGUGAAAACCACUGGUAAUUGAGGCUGGUAAAGUGCUGUGACAUCUCACGUAAACAAGCUGGGUUAUAGACAAGGAUCAUGUCAACUAAGAGUUGCAAGUUCAAAUGUCUUUGUCUCCGAAGAACUGUGCAUUUCAUAUGGAUCAGCUGAACACGAUAGGGCCCCUUCCAUUUGGAGUGGAAAAGACGUCUAUCAUCUAUGCUUUGAUUUACGCGUUACAUCCUCAGAUGAUACAGAACAUGCAAGACAUGGAGAAUGUCAAGAAGAACUGUGUAGCACCGAAAAUACCUGAAGACUGACUUUUUCAGCUAAGAAUGACUUUGUAAUUGUCAAUCAAAAGGUUUAGAUGUUAUACUUAAAUUGCUCAGGACUAUGGCUUACUCUUAAGGUAGCCUUGAAAACAUUUCAUCCUGGAUGCAGAGAAAGACUGUAUAGUUGGAUUACUUGUUAAUUAGUUUGAGUGUUAGUUUUCACUGGUGAAGGAUACAGACACAGAUGAGAAUCGGCAGUGAAGCCACUGAAGGUCCUUCUCAAGCAAGGAACCAAUGUCUUGGUAUUGCAGCCAUUGUAGCUUAAGUAGUGUAGUGACCUAGAUGUAGUUUUUUCCAGUUAUUAAAAUCCAUGGGGUUAGUCGCAUUUAACCUCGAGACUGUUGGACUCGGUCCACUGAAUGUGAUAAAAUCAUCAUAGUUGAAUGUCUAGUUCUGCCAAUUAUUUUGGAAUUCGGUGAGGGGUGAAAACUAUAUUUCUUUUAAAAAAUACUGUAAAUGAGGUGUUUUACCUAAAUUGGAAUGCUAUGUAGCAAAGAAUGCUAGGUAGCAAAGAAAAGUACUCAGAAAGUCCUUUCAGAAGAUAUAUAAUGCAAGUAGCUUUGAUGAUUGAUUGAUUUUUUUUUAAUUGUUGAAAAUAGUGUUUUUGAAGAAAAAUCACAUCCUGGUAUUGCGACAGAAAAAAUAAUGCGAUCUCAAAGAGUUAAAAUCCAUUGGGUUAGUCGCAAUAACCUUGAGUCUGUUGGACUAGGUCCACUGAACUUGAUAAAUAAUCGACACUGAUUUACAAAUGAAAUGAAGAGUCUGCAUUUUGGUGUAACUCCAUAUAACUGUCAGGUGAUUUCGCUCUGAACUUGUGACACUUUGAUCGGUCUGAAAUAAUCAUUAUCCCACCCCUCUGGGAAAAAUUUGCAGCCAGAUUGCACCAUUUCCUGUUACCGUCUGAGAGAUGGCGAUGUCAGGGGCGCAUGACGGUGGUUAAACCUAUUGCGAAUGGGCAGCACAAUUGGGUGUAGGAUAUUCGGAAACCAUUGCACACUCCUGAAUCUGCGGUGGGUUGGUACCCCACGCUACGUAAGGAGUAGGUUGACGGGUAAGCCUUGGUCCACGUGAAUGGGUCGUGCCUUAAAAAUGAUGAGAAGUUGCGAAUUGACGCCCUGUGAAGUGUCCUUCGACCAGCUAGUGCUAAUCCGGUCACUGUCUCCAGGUCACCAUGCCUCGGUCAAUGAGCGGGCGAAGCACCCAAUGGCUCCGUCAGGAGUACAUCGUCAACUUCAGCCCGUAGUCAAACCGGUACACGCACAAAUAUCUUAGUUGAGAGUGGGGGACAUCAGUAAAGUGCUUCUCAUCGGGGUAAUACAGUACCACUGUAUACAAUGACCCCAUUUUUUGUUGGAUUCAUUUCCACUGAGGAGUGGUCGAUUAUGAGAAUUUCAGGCCAGUCUGAUUGUCACCAGUACAGAGGGCAAUUAUCUAAUAGUUAUGUGGCUUUCCCUCAAACUGUAUACUCUUCCAUGUCAAUUGUAAAUUAGUGUUGCUUGGUAGUGUUGGUUGCAUUUAUAAAUUAGUAUUGCUCGUUUUACCUCACAUCUCGUGGGCAGAAAGAACAGUAGUGUUAGUUUUCACUGUUAAAGGAUAAAAAGACCGAUGUGAAUGAGCAGUGAAGUUCCUUCUCAAGCGAGGAACCGACGUCUUGGUAUUGCAGCCACUGUAGCUUAUACAUGUAGUUGUUUUUAGUUUUUAACUCUUUGAAACUGUUGAACUUUGGGUAAAUCAGGCACCAGUAAUGUUGAGAACAUCAGGCCAGUCUUGAUUGUCACCAGUCCAGAGGGAAAAUACCUCAUAGUUAUGUGGCAUUCCUUCAAACUGUUUACUCUUUUGUGUCAUUUAUAAAUUAGCAUUGCUUGUUUCACAACACAUUCAGUGGCGUGGACUGGAGACCGUCUUAUUUGGGGAUGGCCUCUGUGAUUCUAUUAUACAAUGAGGCAUAUAACGGAAGUUCUAGUGCUGUAUGUGAUUUAAGGUUGUGCAUUGUUUGUAUAUUUAGGUAUUGGAAUAAAUAUUGUUCAUUUG